GACGAACGCUGGCGGCGUGCCUAACACAUGCAAGUCGAGCGGAGUCGAUCGACGGAAGCCUUCGGGCGGAAGAUGGUUGACUUAGCGGCGGAUGGGUGAGUAACGCGUGGGCAACCUGCCUCGAAGACCGGGAUAACAGCCCGAAAGGGCUGCUAAUACCGGAUGUGGUCAAAGAUCCGCAUGGAUUUUUGAUUAAAGGGGAAACCCGUUUCGAGAUGGGCCCGCGUCCUAUCAGCUAGUUGGUGAGGUAAAAGCUCACCAAGGCGACGACGGGUAGCCGGCCUGAGAGGGUGACCGGCCACACUGGAACUGAGACACGGUCCAGACUCCUACGGGGGCAGCAGUGGGGAAUCUUCCACAAUGGGCGAAAGCCUGAUGGAGCGACGCCGCGUGAGCGAAGAAGGCCUUCGGGUUGUAAAGCUCUGUCUGGAGGGACGAAGGAAGUGACGGUACCUCCGGAGGAAGCCACGGCUAACUACGUG
rnacentral:rRNA from 1 species